AAGGGGAGCGGCAGACGGGUGAGUAACGCGUGGGAACGUACCUUUUGCUACGGAAUAACUCAGGGAAACUUGUGCUAAUACCGUAUGUGCCCUUCGGGGGAAAGAUUUAUCGGCAAAGGAUCGGCCCGCGUUGGAUUAGCUAGUUGGUGAGGUAAAGGCUCACCAAGGCGACGAUCCAUAGCUGGUCUGAGAGGAUGAUCAGCCACACUGGGACUGAGACACGGCCCAGACUCCUACGGGAGGCAGCAGUGGGGAAUAUUGGACAAUGGGCGCAAGCCUGAUCCAGCCAUGCCGCGUGAGUGAUGAAGGCCCUAGGGUUGUAAAGCUCUUUCACCGGUGAAGAUAAUGACGGUAACCGGAGAAGAAGCCCCGGCUAACUUCGUGCCAGCAGCCGCGGUAAUACGAAGGGGGCUAGCGUUGUUCGGAUUUACUGGGCGUAAAGCGCACGUAGGCGGACUUUUAAGUCAGGGGUGAAAUCCCGGGGCUCAACCCCGGAACUGCCUUUGAUACUGGAAGUCUUGAGUAUGGUAGAGGUGAGUGGAAUUCCGAGUGUAGAGGUGAAAUUCGUAGAUAUUCGGAGGAACACCAGUGGCGAAGGCGGCUCACUGGACCAUUACUGA
rnacentral:rRNA from 1 species